rnacentral:rRNA from 1 species
AUUGAACGCUGGCGGCAUGCCUUACACAUGCAAGUCGAACGGCAGCACGGGAGCAAUCCUGGUGGCGAGUGGCGAACGGGUGAGUAAAGUAUCGGAACGUGCCCAGUCGUGGGGGAUAACGUAGCGAAAGUUACGCUAAUACCGCAUACGAUCUAUGGAUGAAAGCGGGGGAUCGCAAGACCUCGCGCGAUUGGAGCGGCCGAUAUCAGAAUAGGUAGUUGGUGGGGUAAAGGCACACCAAGCCGACGAUCUGUAGCUGGUCUGAGAGGACGACCAGCCACACUGGGACUGAGGCACGGCCCAGACUCCUACGGGAGGCAGCAGUGUGGAAUUUUGGACAAUGGGCGAAAGCCUGAUCCAGCCAUGCCGCGUGCAGGAUGAAGGCCUUCGGGUUGUAAACUGCUUUUGUACGGAAUGAAAAGGACUGCCCUAAUACGGUGGUCCCAUGACGGUACCGUAAGAAUAAGCACCGGCUAACUACGUGCCAGCAGCCGCAGUAACUC